rnacentral:rRNA from 1 species
UACGGGGGGGGUAAGCGUUGUUCGGAAUUACUGGGCGUAAAGGGCUCGUAGGCGGCCAACUAAGUCAGACGUGAAAUCCCUCAGCUUAACUGGGGAACUGCGUCUGAUACUGGAUGGCUUGGAUUUGGGAGAGGGAUGCGGAAUUCCAGGUGUAGCGGUGAAAUGCGUGGAUAUCUGGAGGAACACCGGUGGCGAAGGCGGCAUCCUGGACCAAUAUUGACGCUGAGGAGCGAAAGCCAGGGGAGCAAACGGG